rnacentral:tRNA from 1 species
GAAAUAUAAUUAAAAUUUAAACUUCUAAUUUAAAAAAUAGUGGCUUAGACCCCAUUAAUAUUUCU